GCGCGAAACCUCUGCAAUGCGCGAAAGCGCGACAGGGCCACCCCGAGUGCUAGCCGCUGAGGUUAGCUUUUCCUUAGUGUAGUAAGCUAAGGGAAUAAGCGGGGGGCAAGCCUGGUGUCAGCCGCCGCGGUAAUACCAGCUCCGCGAGUGGUCGGGACGAUUAUUGGGCCUAAAGCGUCCGUAGCCGGCCUAUCAAGCCUCUGGUUAAACCUCAAGGCUCAACCUUGGGACCGCUGGAGAUACUGUUAGGCUAGGGGGCGGGAGAGGUUGAGGGUACUUCGCGGGUAGGGGCGAAAUCCUAUAAUCCGCGAAGGACCACCAGUGGCGAAGGCGCUCAACUGGAACGCGCCCGACGGUGAGGGACGAAAGCCAGGGGAGCAAAGGGGAUUAGAUACCCCCGUAGUCCUGGCUGUAAACGAUGCGGGCUAGGUGUUGGGUUGGCUUCGUGCCAACCCGGUGCCGCAGUGAAGACGAUAAGCCCGCCGCCUGGGAAGUACGGCUGCAAGGCUGAAACUUAAAGGAAUUGGCGGGGGAGCACCACAAGGGGUGAAGCCUGCGGUUUAAUUGGAGUCAACGCCGGGAAUCUUACCGGGAGCGACAGCAAGAUGAAGGCCAAGCUGACGACUUUGUUAGAUGGGCU
rnacentral:rRNA from 1 species